rnacentral:rRNA from 1 species
CCUACGGGUGGCAGCAGUGAGGAAUAUUGGUCAAUGGACGCAAGUCUGAACCAGCCAUGCCGCGUGAAGGAAGACGGCCCUAUGAGUUGUAAACUGCUUUUGUACGAGGGUAAACGCAGAUACGCGUAUCUGUCUGAAAGUAUCGUACGAAUAAGGAUCGGCUAACUCCGUGCCAGCCGCCGCGGUAAUACGGAGGAAUGAAGGGUUAUCCCGAUUUAUUGGGUUUAAAGGGUGCGUAGGCGGGCGGAUAAGUUAGAGGUGAAAUCCCGAGGCUCAACUUCGGAAGUGCCGUUGAUACUGUUCGGCUAGAGAGUAGUUGCGGUAGGCGGAAUGUAUGGUGUAGCGGUGAAAUGCUUAGAGAUCAUACAGAACACCGAUUGCGAAGGCAGCUUACCAAGCUACUUCUGACGUUGAGGCACGAAAGCGUGGGGAGCAAACAGGAUUAGAUACCCGUGUAGUC